AAUUCUAUAGCUCAUUUGGUAGAGCAUCUCACUGUUAAUGGGACGGUUGCCGGUUCAAUUCCGGCUAGCA
rnacentral:tRNA from 1 species